AACGAACGCUGGCGGCAUGCUUAACACAUGCAAGUCGAACGAGCUGAGGGCGUCGGUCCCCGAUGCUAGUGGCGCACGGGUGAGUAACACGUGGGAAUAUGACCUUUAGUACGGAAUAACCAAGGGAAACUUUGGCUAAUACCGUAUACGCCCUUCGAUGGAAAGAUUUCUCGCUACAGGAUUAGCCCGCGUCUGAUUAAGUAGUUGGUGAGGUAGGGGCUCACCAAGCCGACGAUCAGUAGCUGGUAUGCGAGGAUGAUCAGCCACACUGGGACUGAGACGCGGCCCGGAAUCCUACGGGAGGCAGCAGUGGGGAAUAUUGGACAACGGCGGCAACCCUGAUCCAGCCCUGACGCGUGAGUGAAGAAGGCAUUCGGGUUGUAAAGCUCUAUCGACGGGGACGAUGAUGACGGUACCCGUACAAGAAGCCCCGGCUAACUUCGUG
rnacentral:rRNA from 1 species